UAGGGAAUCUUCUGCAAUGGACGAAAGUCUGACCGAGCAACGCCGCGUGAGUGAAGAAGGUUUUCGGAUCGUAAAACUCUGUUGUUAGAGAAGAACAAGGACGUUAGUAACUGAACGUCCCCUGACGGUAUCUAACCAGAAAGCCACGGCUAACUACGUGCCAGCAGCCGCGGUAAUACGUAGGUGGCAAGCGUUGUCCGGAUUUAUUGGGCGUAAAGCGAGCGCAGGCGGUAUCUUAAGUCUGAUGUGAAAGCCCCCGGCUCAACCGGGGAGGGUCAUUGGAAACUGGGAGACUGGAGUGCAGAAGAGGAGAGUGGAAUUCCAUGUGUAGCGGUGAAAUGCGUAGAUAUAUGGAGGAACACCAGUGGCGAAGGCGGCUCUCUGGUCUGUACCUGACGCUGAGGCUAGAAAGCGUGGGGAGCAAACAGG
rnacentral:rRNA from 1 species